CAGGGUCUUUCCCAUCCUCGUCCCCAGGCCCAAGCUCGGGCGGCCCCCACUGUGAGGGCCGCCCGAGCUUGGGCCUGGGGACGAGGAUGGGUCUUUCCU